CUUAUCUGGCUGCUUAGAGUCUGGAGAGAAUAGUGGACUGACUAAGUUAAACAAGAUGAUCUGCAGCACAGUGCUACUAAUUCUGUCUGUCUGCUGUGCAGGUCUUGAUGGGCAGACUCUGACAGAAUCUGGACCAGUGGUUAAAAGGCCUGGAGAAUCUCAUAGAUUGACCUGUACAGCCUCUGGAUUCACAUUCAGCAGCUAUGAAAUGAGCUGGAUCAGACAGGUCCCAGGAAAAGGGCUGGAGUGGAUUGCUCACAUUUACGCUGGUGGCAGUGGAACUUUCUACUCUCAGUCAGUCCAAGGCCGGUUUACCAUCUCCAGAGACAACAACAGACAGCAGCUGUAUCUGCAGAUGAACAGUCUGAAGACUGAAGAUUCUGCUGUUUAUUAUUGUGCUCGAGAAGCACAGUGACUGAAAGCCUUUGAGCAGCUGUACAAAAUCCUACAGCCCUUUAUGAUAUAUUUAUCUUGCAUCAUAACUGUGGUAUUAUGACAAUAUUCUAAUACUUAAUCUAUUAAGACUAUUACUGUAAUAGUGACUGUAAUAAUGUCUUAAUGGAACUUGUUUGAGAAGUUCAUUACUUUUCAUACAAUUAAGCUCUCCACUGGUGUCUCCUGUGGUGC